rnacentral:tRNA from 1 species
GGCCCUGUAGUCUAGUCCGGCCAAGGAUUCGGCCCUUUCGAGGCUGAGACCCGGGUUCAAAUCCCGGCGGGGUCA